rnacentral:rRNA from 1 species
CACCGCGGUUAGACGAGAGGCCCUAGUUGAUACUAUAACGGCGUAAAGGGUGGUUAGGAACAAUAAAAAAUAAAGCCAAAUGGCCCCUUGGCCGUCAUACGCUUCUAGGCGUCCGAAGCCCACAUCACACGAAAGUAGCUUUAAUAAAAAUCCGACCCCACGAAAGCUGAGAAA